ACCCAAACAUGGGUCUUGAACCCACAACAAUGAGAUUGAGAGUUCCAUGCUCUACCUACUGACCUAGUCUGAC
rnacentral:sRNA from 1 species